rfam:Corynebacterium timonense strain DSM 45434 genome assembly, chromosome: I
CUGCACCGCGGUUGCUGAUGUGCGACGGAGUCCGCCGCGGUUGCAGCCCACUUGAAGACGUCCAUCGCACCGUGCCCGGCAACGGGUGCGGCCCGAGAACGGGAGAGAACGCUGAGCGUUACAAC